rnacentral:RNase_P_RNA from 1 species
CGGGUCGACCGGACGGUCGCGUCACCGGCCGCAUCGUCGGCCGGCGCCGAGGAACGUCCGGGCUGCAGAGAGGGGAUCGGUGGGUAACGCCCACCCGGGGCAACCCGCGAGAAAGUGCAACAGAGAGCAGACCGCCGGAUCCGGUUCGCCGGAUCCGGUAAGGGUGAAAGGGUGGUGUAAGAGACCACCGGCGCUCGUGGUGACACGGGCGGCCAGGUAAACCUCGGUCGCAGCAAGGCCAGACAGCAGGCGUUGACGCUCCUCGCCGAGCCUGCGGGUAGGCCGCUAGAGCUCGCCGGCAACGGCGGGCCGAGAGAGAUGACCGUCACCGCCUCGUGCGCGAGGCGGUACAGAACCCGGCGUACAGGUCGGCCCGUUCC